rnacentral:rRNA from 1 species
AUUGAACGCUGGCGGCAUGCCUUACACAUGCAAGUCGAACGGUAACGGGUCCUUCGGGAUGCCGACGAGUGGCGAACGGGUGAGUAAUAUAUCGGAACGUGCCCAGUAGUGGGGGAUAACUGCUCGAAAGAGCAGCUAAUACCGCAUACGACCUGAGGGUGAAAGGGGGGGAUCGCAAGACCUCUCGCUAUUGGAGCGGCCGAUAUCAGAUUAGCUAGUUGGUGGGGUAAAGGCCUACCAAGGCAACGAUCUGUAGUUGGUCUGAGAGGACGACCAGCCACACUGGGGCUGAGACACGGCCCAGACUCCUACGGGAGGCAGCAGUGGGGAAUUUUGGACAAUGGGCGCAAGCCUGAUCCAGCACUGCCGCGUGCAGGAAGAAGGCCUUCGGGUUGUAAACUGCUUUUGUCAGGGAAGAAAUCUUCUGGGCUAAUACCCCGGGAGGAUGACGGUACCUGAAGAAUAAGCACCGGCUAACUACGUGCCAGCAGCCGCGGUAAUACGUAGGGUGCGAGCGUUAAUCGGAAUUACUGGGCGUAAAGCGUGCGCAGGCGGCUUUGCAAGACAGAUGUGAAAUCCCCGGGCUCAACCUGGGAACUGCAUUUGUGACUGCAAGGCUAGAGUACGGCAGAGGGGGAUGGAAUUCCGCGUGUAGCAGUGAAAUGCGUAGAUAUGCGGAGGAACACCAAUGGCGAAGGCAAUCCCCUGGGCCUGUACUGACGCUCAUGCACGAAAGCGUGGGGAGCAAACAGGAUUAGAUACCCUGGUAGUCCACGCCCUAAACGAUGUCAACUGGUUGUUGGACGGCUUGCUGUUCAGUAACGAAGCUAACGCGUGAAGUUGACCGCCUGGGGAGUACGGCCGCAAGGCUGAAACUCAAAGGAAUUGACGGGGACCCGCACAAGCGGUGGAUGAUGUGGUUUAAUUCGAUGCAACGCGAAAAACCUUACCUACCCUUGACAUGUCAAGAAUUCUGCAGAGAUGUGGAAGUGCUCGAAAGAGAACUUGAACACAGGUGCUGCAUGGCCGUCGUCAGCUCGUGUCGUGAGAUGUUGGGUUAAGUCCCGCAACGAGCGCAACCCUUGUCAUUAGUUGCUACGCAAGAGCACUCUAAUGAGACUGCCGGUGACAAACCGGAGGGAGGUGGGGAUGACGUCAGGUCCUCAUGGCCCUUAUGGGUAGGGCUACACACGUCAUACAAUGGCCGGUACAGAGGGCUGCCAACCCGCGAGGGGGAGCCAAUCCCAGAAAACCGGUCGUAGUCCGGAUCGUAGUCUGCAACUCGACUGCGUGAAGUCGGAAUCGCUAGUAAUCGCGGAUCAGCUUGCCGCGGUGAAUACGUUCCCGGGUCU